rnacentral:rRNA from 1 species
UGGGGAAUAUUGCACAAUGGGGGAAACCCUGAUGCAGCAACGCCGCGUGAAGGAAGACGGUUUUCGGAUUGUAAACUUCUUUUCUUAGUGAAGAAGCAAGUGACGGUAGCUAAGGAAUAAGCAUCGGCUAACUACGUGCCUGCAGCCGCGGUAAUACGUAGGAUGCGAGCGUUAUCCGGAAUUACUGGGUGUAAAGGGAGCGCAGGCGGGACUGCAAGUUGGAUGUGAAAUACCGCAGCUUAACUGCGGAGCUGCAUCCAAAACUGUAGUUCUUGAGUGGAGUAGAGGCAAGCGGAAUUCCGAGUGUAGCGGUGAAAUGCGUAGAUAUUCGGAGGAACACCAGUGGCGAAGGCGGCUUGCUGGGCUCUAACUGACGCUGAGGCUCGAAAGUGUGGGGAGCAAACAGGAUUAGAUACCC